CUACAGUGUUGGUGACAUUUUUUUGUCAACAGAAGUUCACCUAAUGAGUGUGAUACUUUGGAUCCAAGUGA
rnacentral:snoRNA from 1 species